ensembl:scaRNA small Cajal body-specific RNA 4
ACUGGAGGAUGAAGAAGACUGAGUCUGAUGAAGCAAGACUCUGUUGAUACACUCCUCCUAGACAAAGGGGUGGAAAGAGCAGCCCUUACCGGAGAAAGCCACAGGGCUCACCAUACUUCCCAACAUUU